rnacentral:lncRNA from 1 species
UAAGGUAAGGCUUGAACCAACAACCUCAGGAGUCCCAGUCAGUCUCCUUAUCCUCUGAGCUACGUAGACACACAGGGGAGUUCCGGGUUUUUCCUAUUUCACUCUCUUUUCUCAACACUAGACUUUAAAUUUCACUGCGAGUGUAUAAGGCAAGGCUUGAACCCACAACCUCAGGAGUCCCAGUCAGUCUCCUUAUCCUCUGAGCUAUGUAGACACACAGGGCAAUUCCGGGUUUGUCCUAUUUCACUCUCUUUUCUCAACACUGGACUUUAAAUUUCACUGCGAGUGUAUAAGGCAAGGUUUGAACCCACAACCUCAGGAGUCCCAGUCAGUCUCCUUAUCCUCUGAGCUAAGUAGACACACAGGGCAAUUCCGGGUUUGUCCUAUUUCACUCUUCUUUCUAGACCCUAGACUUUAAAUUUCACCACGAGUGUAUAAGGUAAGGCUUGAACCAACAACCUCAGGAGUCCCAGUCAGUCUCCUUAUCCUCUGAGCUACGUAGACACACAGGCGAGUUCCGGGUUUUUCCUAUUUCACUCUCUUUUCUCAACACUGGACUUUAAAUUUCACUGCGAGUGUAUAAGGCAAGGCUUGAACCCACAACCUCAGGAGUCCCAGUCAGUCUCCUUAUCCUCUGAGCUACGUAGACACACAGGGCAAUUCCGGGUUUGUCCUAUUUCACUCUUCUUUCUAGACCCUAGACUUUAAAUUUCACCACGAGUGUAUAAGGUAAGGCUUGAACCAACAACCUCAGGAGUCCCAGUCAGUCUCCUUAUCCUCUGAGCUACGUAGACACACAGGCGAGUUCCGGGUUUUUCCUAUUUCACUCUCUUUUCUCAACACUAGACUUUAAAUUUCACUGCGAGUGUAUAAGGCAAGGCUUGAACCCACAACCUCAGGAGUCCCAGUCAGUCUCCUUAUCCUCUGAGCUAUGUAGACACACAGGGCAAUUCCGGGUUUUUCCUAUUUCACUCUCUUUUCUCAACACUAGACUUUAAAUUUCACUGCAAGUGUAUAAGGCAAGGCUUGAACCCACAACCUCAGGAGUCCCAAUCAGUCUCCUUAUCCUCUGAGCCACGUAGACACACAGGGGAGUUCCAGGUUUUUCCUAUUUCACUCUCUUUUCUCAACACUAGACUUUAAAUUUCACUGCGAGUGUAUAAGGUAAGGCUUGAACCCACAACCUCAGGAGUCCCAGUCAGUCUCCUUAUCCUCUGAGCUACGUAGACACACAGGGCAAUUCUGGGUUUGUCCUAUUUCACUCUCUUUUCUCAACACUAGACUUGAAAUUUCACUGCGAGUGUAUAAGGCAAGGCUUGAACCCACAACCUCAGGAGUCCCAGUCAGUCUCCUUAUCCUUUAUUGAUGUAAUUAACAUAAGAAUAACAACACUUCACACAGCCAAAGGUUUGAUUAUUCUGCCAAUAGUCUUCUUUUCUUUCAGGACCAACUGUGGGGUUUUUCCUUUUCUGAAUUGUUUUUCUUUGUUCAUAUUUAGCAUUUUUAGGGUGACCAAAAUUUCAGAUUUUAGGGUGAAAAAAAAAUUCAGAUUUUAGGAUGAGAAAACAUGCCAUAGUAUUGUCUGUUCAAAUUGCCAUAGUAUAGGAUGUUAUAAAUUUCCUAUUUUAGCGGGAAAAUGAAAAAAUCAUAUUUUGGUUGGGAAAAAAAAAAAAAGACAUAGUAUACUAUGACCAAAAUUUCAGAUUUUAGGGUGAGAAAAAAAUUCAGAUUUUAGGAUGAAAAAACAUGCCAUCGUAUUGUCUGAUCAAAUUGCCAUAGAAUAGGAUGUUAAAAAUGUCAUAUUUUAGCAGGAAAAUGAAAAAAAUCAUAUUUUGGUCUGAAAAAAAAAAAAGACAUAGUAUACUAUGACCAAAAUUUCAGAUUUUAGAAUGAAAAAACAUGCCAUAGUAUUGUCUAAUCAAAUUGCCAUAGAAUAGGAUGUUAAAAAAUGUCAUAUUUUAGUGGGAGAAUUAAAAAUUCAUAUUUUGGUCUGAAAAAAAUAAUGACAUCUAUGACCAAAAUUUCAGAUUUUAGGGUGAAAAAAAAAUUCAGAUUUUAGGAUGAGAAAACAUGCCAUAGUAUUGUCUGAUCAAAUUGCCAUAGAAUAGGAUGUUAAAAAUGUCCUAUUUUAGCGGGAAAAUGAAAAAAUCAUAUUUUGGUCUGAAAAAAAAAAGACAUAGUAUACUAUGACCAAAAUUUCAGAUUUUAGGGUGAAAAAAAAAUUUAAGAUUUUAGGAUGAAAAAACAUGCCAUCGUAUUGUCUGAUCAAAUUGCCAUAGAAUAGGAUGUUAAAAAUGUCAUAUUUUAGCGUGGGGGAAAAAUUCGUCUUUUAGUCCCAAAAAAAAAACAAAAAACGUCAUAGUAUUUGUCAUGACUGUAGUCAUUUAAGUGGUUUGGUUAGUUCAUUUGUUGACUGACAGCUCUCUUUUUUCCCCCCUUGUCUGCAGUGGAAAUCAGCCUUUGUGUGAGAGAUGAGCUGCAGGUGUGCGUGUGCUGCUAUUUGCGAUGUGACAUGAUUGCUGCAUGCUGAUUGGCUGGCUGAGGACUAUUUAAACCACUUGAUGCCAUCCUCCAGCCCCCUUCUGGCCCUUGCCAUUUCCAACCACCAGUCCAUGCAGUCAAUGUGAAUUAUUUCUGGUUAGCCUUGGGAAUACAAAGAUAAUUUAAUUGUGAAUAUUUUACUUUAGGAUUUAGUGGCAGACACAGGAGGGAGAAGCCAUUUUGUUUUCUAUCUUGUUUUCUCCUGUUUCUUGGUUAGGAGUUAGGUUAUCUGUUGUCUUUUGUUUUACAUUUAUUUUACUACAGGUAAGUUAGGGUCCUUGAUUUAGCGGUUUUGUUUGAUGUGUUGGCAUCACUGCUCUCUGAAGUGAAUAAAAACUGCCUUGUCUGUGAAUCUACAAACUCAUCAUUGGCUGGUUCUUGGGAGUGGGAAGAGCGGGGCACUUAAUAAUAUACAGCCCUGGUUCCCCUUGGCCAGGGCCAUAGAAUAUACUAUGAACAAAAUUUCAGAUUUGAGGAUAGGAAAAAAACAUGCCAUAGCGUUGUCUGAUCAAAAUGCCAUAGAAUAGGAUGUUAAAAAUGUCAUAUUUUAGUGGGAAAAUGAAAAAUUCAUAUUUUGGUCUGAAAAAAAAAACGACAUAGUAUACUAUGACCAAAAUUUCAGAUUUUAGGGUGAAAAAAAAAUUCAGAUUUUAGGAUGAGAAAACAUGCCAUAGUAUUGUCUGAUCAAAUUGCCAUAGAAAAGGAUGUUAAAAAUGUCAUAUUUUAGCAGGAAAAUUAAAA